GACGCGGUAGCACAGUGGUCAAGUAGGCUUGACUUGGGAUCGUAAGGUCCUGAGUUCAAGCCCCGGCCACGGCC